rnacentral:rRNA from 1 species
AGUGAACGCUGGCGGCGUGCUUAACACAUGCAAGUCGAACGAGAACGGAAUAUAGCUUGCUAUAUUUGUCAGCUAAGUGGCGCACGGGUGAGUAAUGUAUAGAUAACCUACCCUUAAGAAAGGAAUAACAGUUGGAAACGACUGCUAAUGCCCUAUAUGCCUUUAAUACAUAAGUAUGCAAGGGAAACGCUUUAGUGCUUAAGGAUGGGUCUGUAUAGUAUCAGCUUGUUGGUGAGGUAAUGGCUCACCAAGGCUAUGACGCCUAACUGGUUUGAGGGGAUGAUCAGUCACACUGGAACUGAGACACGGUCCAGACUCCUACGGGAGGCAGCAGUGGGGAAUAUUGCACAAUGGACGAAAGUCUGAUGCAGCAACGCCGCGUGGAGGACGACACAUUUCGGUGCGUAAACUCCUUUUAUAUAGGAAGAUAAUGACGGUACUAUAUGAAUAAGCACCGGCUAACUCCGUGCCAGCAGCCGCAGUAAAAC